AUGACUGUCUCGUCAUCCACUUCUCAAGGGACAAGCACAACUGCUGAAGUCACAGCCACAUCAUCUUCAGCAACUUCUCCAAGUUCAAGUCCCACGACCGUCUCGUUAUCCACAUCUGAAGGGACUAGCACAACUGCUGAAGUCACAGCAACAUCAUCUUCAGCAACUUUUCCAAGUUCAAUUCCCACGACUGUCUCGUCAUCCACAUCCGAAGGGACAAGCACAACUGCAGAAGUCACAGACACAUCAUCUUCAGCUACUUCAAGUCCCACGACUGUGUCGUCAUCCACUUCUGAAGGCACAAGCACAACUGCUGAAGUCACAGCCACAUCAUCUUCAGCAACUUCCCCAAGUUCAAGUCCCACGACUGUCUCUUCAUCCACAUCCGGAGGGACAAGCACAACUGCUGAAGUCACAGACACAUCAUCUUCAGCUACUUCAAGUCCCACGAUUGUGUCGUCAUCCACUUCUGAAGGCACAAGCAAAACUGCUGAAAUCACAGCCACAUCAUCUUCAGCAACUUCUCCAAGUUCAAGUCCCACGACUGUGUCGUCAUCCACUUCUGAAGGGACAAGCACAACUGCUGAAGUCACAGACACAUCAUCUUCAGCAACUUCUCCAAGUUCAAGUCCCACGACUGUCUCGUCAUCCACAUCCGAAGGGACAAGCACUACUGCAGUAGUCACAGACACAUCAUCUUCAGCAACUUCUCCAAGUUCAAGUCCCACGACUGUGUCGUCAUCCACAUCAGAAGGGACAAGCACAACUGCAGAAGUCACAGACACAACAUCUUCAGCAAUUUCUCCAAGUUCAAGUUCCACGACUGUGUCGUCAUCCACUUCUGAAGGGACAAGCACAACUGCUGAAGUCACAGACACAUCAUCUUCAGCAACUUCUCCAAGUUCAAGUCCCACGACCAUCUCGUUAUCAACAUCUGAAGGGACUAGCACAACUGCUGAAGUCACAGCAACAUCAUCUUCAGCAACUUCUCCAAGUUCAAGUCCCACGACUGUGUCGUCAUCCAUAUCAGAAGGGACAAGCACAACUGCAGAAGUCACAGACACAUCAUCUUCAGCUACUUCAAGUCCCACGACUGUGUCGUCAUCCACUUCUGAAGGCACAAGCACAACUGCUGAAGUCACAGCCACAUCAUCUUCAGCAACUUCUCCAAGUUCAAGUCCCACGACUGUGUCGUCAUCCACUUCUGAAGGAACAAGCACAACUGCUGAAGUCACAGCCACAACAUCCUCAGCUACUUCAAGUCCCACGACUGUGUCGUCAUCCACUUCUGAAGGCACAAGCACAACUAAAGAAGUCACAGACACAUCAUCUUCAGCAACUUCUCCAAGUUCAAGUCCCACAACUGUCUCUUCAUCCACAUCCGAAGGGACAAGCACAACGCAGUAG
rnacentral:lncRNA from 1 species